rnacentral:misc_RNA from 1 species
AGAGCUGUACGAGAGAUGUCAGGUAAUUCCGUUUAAUUUAUUGAUGACAUUACUCCACCAAACACAUUGCAUCGCCGAAUUAAUAUUAACGGUCUUACUCAUUAAUGGGGGCAUUAAAACAUCCGUGCAAAUCAAUAUCCGUAUGUUUUUCGUUAUACCCUUCACUCGUUUUAAAAUUGUUUAUUAUAUGCAUUAUAAUCGUGUGGGACUUUAGUGUUUCAUUCUAAUGAGGUAGGUGUUAUUUUCGCUUGCACGGAUUAACGUUUGCAGUGAAUUUUUGCCGGUUCGCACUUUAGAUAUGAAUUUAUUUCGGUUAUAAUUGCCUCAUGUAGCGUGCUUAUAUAAUGAUAUAAUGGCCUGCAGCGCUGCGCUGAACAUAAAAACGUUUAUCCACUAUAGUUACAUUUUGUUUUCAUUGAAUGAGAGAUUCUUUAUGGUUUUAAUGUAAAUUGUUACAUAUACAGAUUACCAUCGCAUUUAU